rnacentral:rRNA from 1 species
AAGCUCCUUCGGGAGUAAGUACAGCGGCGAACGGGUGAGUAACGCGUGAGAAUCUACCCAUUAGUGAGGAAUACUCCUGAGAAAUCGGGGUUAAUACUGCAUAAGUCUCUACGGAGAGAAAGGUGGCCUCUUGCUGCCGCUAAUGGAUGAGCUUGCGUACUAUUAGUUAGUUGGUGGGGUAAUGGCCUACCAAGACGAUGAUGGUUAACCGGCCUGAGAGGGUGUACGGUCACACUGGAACUUAGACACGGUCCAGACUCCUACGGGAGGCAGCAGUGGGGAAUAUUGCGCAAUGGGCGAAAGCCUGACGCAGCGACGCCGCGUGGAGGAUGAAGGCCUUAGGG